rnacentral:siRNA from 1 species
UGAAGGAGGGCAAGCUUGUAG